rnacentral:rRNA from 1 species
UACGUAGGUGGCAAGCGUUGUCCGGAUUUACUGGGCGUAAAGAGCGCGCAGGCGGUCGGAUUAGUCGCGUGUGAAAGCCCCCGGCUCAACUGGGGAGGGUCACGCGAUACUGUUCGACUCGAAGGCAGGAGAGGGAAGUGGAAUUCUCGGUGUAGAGGUGAAAUUCGUAGAUAUCGAGAGGAACACCGGUGGCGAAGGCGGCCUUCUGGACAGCAUCUGACGCUGAGACGCGAAAGCGUGGGGAGCAAACAGG